rnacentral:rRNA from 1 species
GAUGAACGCUAGCGGCAGGCUUAAUACAUGCAAGUCGAGGGGCAGCAUGAUUGUAGCAAUACACUUGAUGGCGACCGGCAAACGGGUGCGGAACACGUACACAACCUUCCAACAAGUGGGGGAUAGCCCAGAGAAAUUUGGAUUAAUACCCCGUAACAUAGCGAUGUGGCAUCACAUUGCUAUUAUAGAUUUUUCGCUUGUUGAUGGGUGUGCGGCUGAUUAGAUAGUUGGCGGGGUAACGGCCCACCAAGUCUACGAUCAGUAGCUGAUGUGAGAGCAUGAUCAGCCACACGGGCACUGAGACACGGGCCCGACUCCGACGGGAGGCGGCAGUAAGGAAUAUUGGACAAUGGACGCAAGUCUGAUCCAGCCAUGCCGCGUGAAGGAUUAAGGUCCUCUGGAUUGUAAACUUCUUUUAUAAGGGACGAAAAAAGGCUUUUCUAAGUCGUCUGACGGUACCUUAUGAAUAAGCACCGGCUAACUCCGUGCCAGCAGCCGCAGUAACAC